UAUGCCUUGCUUAUUGCACCACAUGUGUUUUUCUUUGAAACAAACUUGCUUUGGCGGUGGGCCCAGCCUGCCGCCAGAGGUCUAAACUUACAACCAAUUUUUUAUCAACUUGUCACACCAGAUUAUUACUAAUAGUCAAAACUUUCAACAACGGAUCUCUUGGUUCUCGCAUCGAUGAAGAACGCAGCGAAAUGCGAUACGUAAUAUGAAUUGCAGAUAUUCGUGAAUCAUCGAAUCUUUGAACGCACAUUGCGCCCUCUGGUAUUCCGGAGGGCAUGCCUGUUUGAGCGUCGUUUCUCCCUCAAACCGCUGGGUUUGGUGUUGAGCAAUACGACUUGGGUUUGCUUGAAAGACGGUAGUGGUAAGGCGGGAUCGCUUUGACAAUGGCUUAGGUCUAACCAAAAACAUUGCUUGCGGCGGCAACGUCUACCACGUAUAUCUUCAAACUUUGACCUCAAAUCAGGUAGGACUACCCGCUGAACUUAAGCAUAUCAAAAGCCGGAGGAA
rnacentral:rRNA from 1 species